rnacentral:rRNA from 1 species
UGCGUAGGCGGCUAUUUAAGUCAGCGGUGAAAGACUCCGGCUCAACCGGAGCAGUGCCAUUGAUACUGGAUAGCUUGAGUGUUGGAGGGGUACAUGGAAUUGAUGGUGUAGCGGUGAAAUGCAUAGAUACCAUCAGGAACACCGAUAGCGAAGGCAUUGUACUGGCCAACAACUGACGCUGAGGCACGAAAGCAUGGGGAGCGAACAGGAUUAGAUACCCUGGUAGUCC